GCUGGACGCGUGUCUAACACAUGCAGCUUGAGCGACUAACCAGGGCUUGCCCUGGGUUCAAAGCAGCGAAGGGGUGAGUAACACGUGGGUAACCCGCCCCGAUAACCGGGACAACCUUAGGAAACUCGGGCUAAUACCGGAUGUGCUCGCCGGACACCAGUCCGGCGCGUAAAGGAAGCUUCGGCCUCCGUAUCGGGAAGGGCCCGCGGCCCAUUAGCUAGUUGGUGAGGUAACGGCUCAUCAAGGCCGCGAUGGGUAGCUGGUCUGAGAGGACGAUCAGCCACACUGGGACUGAGACACGGCCCAUACUCCUACGGGAGGUUAUUAGUGGGGAAUCUUGCGCAAUGCGUGAAAGCGUGACGCAGCAACGGCCACUUGGC
rnacentral:rRNA from 1 species